ACUCGGGAGGCUGAGGCAGGAGAAUCCAUAAGUAUGCCAGGGCAAAUAUUUAGGCUAAAUUGUGGGAGCUAAGAACACAAAGUACAUUGAUUUCUUUAUUACAGCUAACAGAUAUCUAAGAAUGUUAGCACAGGUCUUUGAAUAAAUUUUGCUUCUAAGAGAAGUUACUAUUUAUUCUUAAUUAGAUGGGGAGGAAAGUCUCUUUGAAGAGGAGCCUCUACUUCACUUUUUACAUGCAUCCAUGACCAAAAUCCAUUUUAAAUGUUUUGUCAUUCCCAAAAAGAAACCCUAUCCCCUUGGGUAUUGCUCCUCAACCCCCAUAUUCCCUCCGGCCCUAGGCAACCACUAAUCUACUUUCUGUCUCUACAGAUUUGUCUAUUCUAGGCAAUGCACAGAAAUGCAAUCUUACUAUAGAUGCAGCCUGUUGUGAUCGGCUUCUUUCAC
rnacentral:lncRNA from 1 species